GAUGAACGCUGGCGGCGUGCUUAACACAUGCAAGUCGAACGGAAAGGCCACAGCUUGCUGUGGUACUCGAGUGGCGAACGGGUGAGUAACACGUGGGUGAUCUGCCCUGUACUUCGGGAUAAGCUUGGGAAACUGGGUCUAAUACCGGAUAGGAAUCACAUGUGGGUGUGUGGUUGGAAAGCUUUUGCGGUAUGGGAUGAGCUCGCGGCCUAUCAGCUUGUUGGUGGGGUAAUGGCCUACCAAGGCGUCGACGGGUAGCCGGCCUGGGAGGGUGUACGGCCGCAUUGGGACUGAGAUACGGCCCAGACUACUACGGGAGGCAGCAGUGGGGAGUAUUGCACAAUGGGCGCAAGCCUGAUGCGGCGACGCCGCGUGGGGGAUGACGGCCUUCGUGUUGUAAACUCCUUUCGUCAGGGACGAAGCGAAAGUGACGGUACCUGGAUAAGAAGCACCGGCUAACUACGUG
rnacentral:rRNA from 1 species